UACAGCUGCGCCCCCACCCUUCCUCCUCGUCUUCCCUCCCCUGUAAUCCAAUCUUUUCACAUUCCCCGCUCCUCUCUCUCCCCCCCUCCCAGAAAUCAAAGCCCGCCGCGGGGAGAGACUAGCGGCGCAAUGGACGCCUACGAGGCCACCAAGGUGGUGUUCGCACGGGUCCAGGGGCUCGUCGACGCGGACCUCGCCUCCAAGAUCAUGGGCAUGCUGCUCACCCAGGACAAGAGCGAGGAGGAUAUGAUCCGCCUCGCCUUCGGCCCCGAGCACCUCCUCCAGUCCGUCGUCGCCGACCUCGCGGCCUACAGCAAGCCCCCCUCCCCGCCCGCGCCGGCAUGGAGGAUGGCGCCGGGUGCGGCUGGAGGAGAUGGCGAAGGCGGCCUCCCGUUCGCCGCCGCAUCCGAAGCGUUCUACCCCGAGGAGGAGUACGGGUGCUGGUCUCCGGCGAGCGGCGCUCAUCACCGCCGGAGCUUCUCGCUGAGCGACGCCGAGGGCGGGUGGAAGCUGUGCCAGUACUUCGCCCGGGGCUUCUGCAAGAACGGCUCCGACUGCCGCUUCCUGCACGGGCUGCCCGAGGACGUCGCCGAGCAGGAGAUGUCGGUGAUACGCGCCAAGGCCGUCGCCGCCGCUAGGUCGCAGAUGAUGGCGCCCGCCUUCGCCUUCUCGCCAUCGCCUCCCAAAGGCCUCGGCUUCCUCCUACAACAACAGCAGCAGCAGCAGCAGCAGAGCGAGUCCCAAAGGGCGUCGGACAUGCUGCUCGCCGGAGGCGACGACAUGCACAGGUUCUCUCUUCGGUCGCCCCGCAUGGACCGCGGCGAGCUCGCCAUCAACCACGGCCCGCGCCAGAUCUACCUCACUUUCCCCGCCGACUCCACCUUCACCGAAGAGGACGUGUCCAGCUACUUCAGCAUGUACGGGCCGGUACAGGACGUGCGCAUCCCGCACCAGCCGAAGCGCAUGUUCGGCUUCGUCUCCUUCGUCUACCCGGAGACGGUGCGGCUCGUCCUCGCCAAGGGCAACCCACACUUCGUCUGCGACGCGCGCGUCCUUGUCAAGCCAUACAAGGAGAAGGGCAAGGUCCCCGACAGGUUCAGGCAUGGCGGCGGCGGCGGCGGCCACUGUCUCUCUACUCACCACCGCGAGUUUGCCGCCGUCGGCAGCGGGAUGCCGUCCGCCGGGCUGCUCGACUCCAGGGACCCCUUCGACCUCCAGCAGCCGCAAAUCGGGCAGAGAAUGCUGUACGGGAGCAUGGCCGGCCACGAGGCGGCGUUUCUGAGGAGGAACCUGGAGGAGCAGCAGCAGCAGCAGGAGGCGGCGGAGCUGCAGCAUGCCAUCGAGCUGCAGGGCCGCCGGCUCAUGGGGCUGCAGUUUCUUGACCUCAAGGGCAGGGGGCACGGCCUCCUGGGCUCCCCCGUGGGCUCACCGUCCGACGGCAAUGGCGUCUGCUUUAGUGGGAACGGCAGUGGCGUCCAUCUUGAAGACGCCAUUAGCACCAUCCAAGAUAACAACAGGCUGAGCAGUGGUCUUUUCAUGGGCACAUAUGCUGCUGCUUGUGUGAUUGCUAAAGAAGGGAAGCAGGUGUAUCGGGAGGAGGGUGGUGAUGGCAAUGGCAGUGGCAAUGGCAAUGGCAAUGGCAGUCCCAAGCAGCCAGUCAACUCUGGGGAAGAGGGGAGGAGGGAAUCUGGUCCUGGGGCAGCAGCUGCAUCCAAUGUUUGUGAAUACCAAGAAAGUGGCAUGGAGCCCAAGCACAACCUGCCUGGUAGCCCCUUCGCUUUCCCCACCAAGGAGGCCUCCAUUGCUGCUGCUGCUGCUGAGCAGCAGACAGCUCACACUGGCGGCAUGAGCAACAGUAGCAGCCCCCACCUGGUGGCCUCUUCCCUUUUCCCGCCUGCUAAACCUCUCUACAGCUCCUGCUUCUCUCAAGUGCCUAGAUUGUCGUCUGGGCAGGGAGCAAUUGGGCUGUGAAUAGAGCAAAGAUAGGGGUGUCAUCUCCUCUCCGCUGUGCUGGGAGUAAGUGUCAACAGCAACAGUCACUUGCUCAAUCAUGGGAGGGAGUGGUGUGAUGAGAUGACUGACCCCAUCGAGUGGUGGUAGGAAAAAGAAAAGGAAAGGAAAGCGUUUAACAGAUUGUAGGAGGUGUAUCUUGAGUUGAGAGAGGGACAGCGCAGCAACUCAACAGCAACAACAGCAACAGAUUAAGAAAGGAAACAGUCCUAGGUUGUCUUUAGCAUUAGGCAUUAAUAGUAUAUGGAGUAGCAUAAAAUAGUACUAGCACCAGUCGUCGUUUUAAUUAUUACUAGUUCCUGCAUUGCAAGAGUCGAGUGGAGUCGAGCAUAUAUAGCAAGGGGAAAGUGAGAAGUGGAAACCAACCGUCAUGCAUGGCUUGUGGCUGCGUUGCUUCGUGAAGGUCCGGUCAAUCCUCUGUUUGUGUGGAUCUCAUCUCAUCCCAGUCUCUGAUGACAGACAGAAGUACUAUACCGUCACUGCUUGGCUAGUCUUUGACUCCUGGCAGCAGUGGCCUCUUUGUGACUAAUGCUAUGAUGGAUGCGUCGUGGACAUCAAAAUGAGUCUUUUGAAAUUAA